rnacentral:misc_RNA from 1 species
UUCCUGCAGCUCACGUACUACCUCUUCUUAUAAUGCAAUGGAUUCCGUUUCUUCUUCUUCAUUAUCUUCUUAUUCCUCUUCCUCUUGUUCUUCUUCUUCGUCGCCAUUGCAUCUUUAUCGAUAUGGAAGGGAGGGGAAGGGAGCUUUAUCAUUCUUGUUGAAUGGCAAGAAUGUGCUCACUAGGAGUAGAUCAUUGGUUUUUGCUCCAAGAACCAGAGGCAAUAAAGACAGGAUCAGUGAUGAUAAAAAGAAAGGUGGGAUUUUGUCCAAGUUGCUACGUCCAAAAAAUAAGACGAUAGAGGAAGGUUUAUCGCACUCUAUGACUAUGAGAGAAAGGGUGAUGAGCAUCACUAGGGUCAAGUAGUUCUUGAUUUUUUUUUUCUUACCACUUCUUCGCCACUUUUAUUAGA